GACGUAGGGCGCGAGCGUUGUCCGGAUUUAUUGGGCGUAAAGAGCUCGUAGGCGGCUUGUCGCGUCGUCCGUGAAAACCUAAGGCUCAACCUUGGGCUUGCAGUGGGUACGGGCAGACUAGAGUGCGGUAGGGGUGACUGGAAUUCCUGGUGUAGCGGUGGAAUGCGCAGAUAUCAGGAAGAACACCCGUGGCGAAGGCGGUUCUCUGGGACGGUACUGACGCUGGAGACGCGAAAGCGUGGGGAGCGAACAGG
rnacentral:rRNA from 1 species